rnacentral:rRNA from 1 species
GAUGAACGCUAGCGGCAGGCUUAACACAUGCAAGUCGAGGGGCAGCACGGGUAGCAAUACUUGGUGGCGACCGGCGCACGGGUGAGUAACGCGUAUGCAACCUACCCAUAACAGGGGGAUAGCUUUCGGAAACGGAAAUUAAUACCCCAUAGUACUUUAAGACCGCAUGGUUUAAAAGUUAAAACUUCGGUGGUUAUGGAUGGGCAUGCGUGCCAUUAGUUAGUUGGUGAGGUAAAAGCUCACCAAGACGAUGAUGGCUAGGGGGUCUUAAAGGAUGGUCCCCCACACUGGUACUGAGACACGGACCAGACUCCUACGGGAGGCAGCAGUGAGGAAUAUUGGUCAAUGGGCGCAAGCCUGAACCAGCCAUGCCGCGUGCAGGAAGACGGCCCUAUGGGUUGUAAACUGCUUUUAUAUGGGAAGAAAAUGUUCUACGUGUAGAGCACUGACGGUACCAUAAGAAUAAGCAUCGGCUAACUCCGUGCCAGCAGCCGCGGUAAUACGGAGGAUGCAAGCGUUAUCCGGAUUUAUUAGGUUUAAAGGGUGUGUAGGCGGAAUUUUAAGUCAGUGGUGAAAUCUCACAGCUCAACUGUGAAACUGCCAUUGAUACUGAAAUUCUUGAGUAUAGUUGAGGUAGGCGGAAUGUGUAAUGUAGCGGUGAAAUGCUUAGAUAUUACACAGAACACCGAUUGCGAAGGCAGCUUACUAAGCUAUUACUGACGCUGAUGCACGAAAGCGUGGGGAGCGAACAGGAUUAGAUACCCUGGUAGUCCACGCCGUAAACGAUGAUUACUCGUUGUUGGCGAUAUAUUGUCAGCGACUGAGCGAAAGCAUUAAGUAAUCCACCUGGGGAGUACGUUCGCAAGAAUGAAACUCAAAGGAAUUGACGGGGGCCCGCACAAGCGGAGGAACAUGUGGUUUAAUUCGAUGCAACGCGAAGAACCUUACCAGCUCUUGAUGUAGUAUGACCGUACCCGAAAGGGUAAUUCUCUUCGGGACAAUUUACAAGGUGCUGCAUGGUUGUCGUCAGCUCGUGCCGUGAGGUGUCGGGUUAAGUCCCAUAACGAGCGCAACCCCUAUUGUUAGUUGCCAGCGGAUAAUGCCGGUGACUCUAACGAGACUGCCAACGUAAGGUGUGAGGAAGGUGGGGACGACGUCAAAUCGUCAUGCCCCUUAUGUCUUGGGCUACACACGUACUACAAUGGCUAUUACAGAGGGAAGCUAAGCCGUAAGGUGGAGCAAAUCCCCAAAAAUAGUCCCAGUUCAGAUUGUGGGCUGCAACCCGCCCACAUGAAGUCGGAAUUGCUAGUAAUGGCAGGUCAGCAUACUGCCGUGAAUACGUUCCCGGGCCUUGUACACACCGCCCGUCACACCAUGAGAGUCUGUAACACCCGAAGUCAGUAGACUAACCGCAAGGAGGUCGCUGCCGAAGGUGGGACCGAUGAUUGGGGUG